rnacentral:rRNA from 1 species
UACGGAGGGUGCGAGCGUUGUCCGGAAUCAUUGGGCGUAAAGGGCGCGUAGGUGGCCUGCUAAGCGUGCGGUGAAAGCUCGGGGCUCAACCCCGAGUCGGCCGUGCGAACUGGUGGGCUUGAGCACUGUAGAGGGAUGCGGAAUUCCGGGUGUAGCGGUGGAAUGCGUAGAGAUCCGGAAGAACACCGGAGGCGAAGGCGGCUUGCUGGGCGUAGUCUGACGCUGAGGCGCGAAAGCGUGGGGAGCGAACAGG